GAGAGUAAUACCGUAUGAGCCCUUCGGGGGAAAGAUUUAUCGCCAAAGGAUUGGCCCGCGUUAGAUUAAGAUAGUUGGUGGGGUAAUGGCCUACCAAGCCUACGAUCUAUAGCUGGUUUUAGAGGAUGAUCAGCAACACUGGGACUGAGACACGGCCCAGACUCCUACGGGAGGCAGCAGUGGGGAAUCUUGGACAAUGGGGGCAACCCUGAUCCAGCCAUGCCGCGUGAGUGAUGAAGGCCUUAGGGUCGUAAAGCUCUUUCGCCUGUGAAGAUAAUGACGGUAGCAGGUAAAGAAACCCCGGCUAACUCCGUGCCAGCAGCCGCGGUAAUACGGAGGGGGUUAGCGUUGUUCGGAAUUACUGGGCGUAAAGCGCACGUAGGCGGACUGGAAAGUUGGGGGUGAAAUCCCAGGGCUCAACCCUGGAACUGCCUCCAAAACUAUCAGUCUAGAGUUCGAGAGAGGUGAGUGGAAUUCCGAGUGUAGAGGUGAAAUUCGUAGAUAUUCGGAGGAACACCAGUGGCGAAGGCGGCUCACUGGCUCGAUACUGACGCUGAGGUGCGAAAGUGUGGGGAGCAAACAGGAUUAGAUACCCUGGUAGUCCACACCGUANACGAUGAAUGCCAGUCGUCGGGUAGCAUGCUAUUCGGUGACACACCUAACGGAUUAAGCAUUCCGCCUGGGGAGUACGG
rnacentral:rRNA from 1 species